AUUGAACGCUGGCGGCAUGCCUUACACAUGCAAGACGAACGGCAGCACGGGAGCAAUCCUGGUGGCGAGUGGCGAACGGGUGAGUAAAGUAUCGGAACGUGCCCAGUCGUGGGGGCUAACGUAGCGAAAGUUACGCUAAUACCGCAUACGAACUAUGGCUGAAAGCGGGGGAUCGCAAGACCUCGCGCGAUUGGAGCGGCCGAUAUCAGAUUAGGUAGUUGGUGGGGUAAAGGCUCACCAAGCCGACGACCUGUAGCUGGUCUGAGAGGACGACCAGCCACACUGGGACGGUGACACGGCGCAGACUCCGACGGGAGGCAGCAGUGGGGAAUUUGGGACAAUGGGCGAAAGCCUGAUCCAGCCAUGCCGCGUGCAGGAUGAAGGCCUUCGGGUUGAAAACUGCUUUUGUACGGAACGAAAAGGUUUGGGCUAAUAAGCUGAGCUCAUGACGGUACCGGAAGAAUAAGCACCGGCUAACUACGUGCCAGCCGCCGCCGUAA
rnacentral:rRNA from 1 species